CACAUUUAAAAAUUACCAAUGGCUGGCAGGUCAGUUUCAAACUAGCGGCCUAGUAGCCAAAUCCUUCAAAAUACCUGUAUUACACUGGCCCAUAAACCCAGACCAAAGAUCAACAUUUUACAACGUAAUCUAAACGCAACAUGCAUCAGAACAUUUUGCAACUAUAUACAAAGAUCUCAUUAACUACUAACUCCUUUAAAAUGUUCAGCUAAUCUAAACCCGAG